rnacentral:rRNA from 1 species
CCUACGGGAGGCAGCAGUUUUUAAUAUUGCGCCAUGGGCGAAAGCCUGACGCAGCGACGCCGCGUGAGGGAUGAAGGUCUUCGGAUCGUAAACCUCUGUUGCGGGGGAAAAAAGGCAGCAUCAGGAAAUGGGUGCUGACUGAUGGUGCCCCGCCAGAAAGUCACGGCUAACUACGUGCCAGCAGCCGCGGUAAUACGUAGGUGGCGAGCGUUAUCCGGAAUGAUUGGGCGUAAAGGGUGCGCAGGCGGUCCUGCAAGUCUGGAGUGAAACGCAUGAGCUCAACUCAUGCAUGGCUUUGGAAACUGGAGGACUGGAGAGCAGGAGAGGGCGGUGGAACUCCAUGUGUAGCGGUAAAAUGCGUAGAUAUAUGGAAGAACACCAGUGGCGAAGGCGGCCGCCUGGCCUGUUGCUGACGCUGAGGCACGAAAGCGUGGGGAGCAAAUAGGAUUAGAUACCCGAGUAGUC